UACGUAGGGGGCUAGCGUUGUCCGGAAUUACUGGGCGUAAAGAGCUCGUAGGUGGUUUGUCGCGUUGUCCGUGAAAACUCACAACUCAAUUGUGGGCGUGCGGGCGAUACGGGCAGACUGGAGUACUGCAGGGGAGACUGGAAUUCCUGGUGUAGCGGUGGAAUGCGCAGAUAUCAGGAGGAACACCGGUGGCGAAGGCGGGUCUCUGGGCAGUAACUGACGCUGAGGAGCGAAAGCGUGGGGAGCGAACAGG
rnacentral:rRNA from 1 species